ensembl:lncRNA SLC44A3-AS1 SLC44A3 antisense RNA 1
GCCUGGCCCGGCGACUGCGGGCGCUGCGGUCCACUGGGUCCGCCUCUUCCCGGCAUGGGUUUCUGCCCAGCUCACCCGCUGUCAGCUGGGGUCCUGCUCUGGUGGGAGGAAGAGGCUCAGACGCUUCCCUGCCCUCUCGCCUCAACCACCUCGAGGCAGCGGCUCCCAGGAUGUGCACUUUGACGACUAAAGCUGAGCCGGCGCCGCCACGACCUUGGGCGGGUGGUCGGCCUCUGCCCUGAGCAGGAAGUAGAAAGUCUCAGCAGACCCUUCCUGAGGGCCGAGCAACAGUGUAGUGGCGUAUUCCACAUAGCAAACAGUUUUCUGAAGCUCAGAGGGACACCUUGUAUUGCUGGAUGAUAAAAACAGGAGCAAAGUGAUGAAGUGCUGACAAGGCAACAAUAGAACAUGAGAGAUUCACUGCUGUGUAGGAAGAGAUCUUCGGUGACCAUGUAGCCUGAAGCUCUCAUUUUGUCAUCGAGGGACACCAAAACUCAGAACAGAUAGAGUCUUGCUCUGUGACCCAGGCUUGUGUGCAGCGGUACGAUAUUGGCUCACUGCGACCUCCACCUCCCAGGUUCAAGCAAUUCUCCUGCCUCAGCCUCCCAAGUAGCUGGGAUUACAGAUGAGGUCUCCAAGGGACCAGAUGGAGAACAGAUGCAACCACACUGAAGUCAGAAUCGCAGCUUGCCUCCGACACCUGACGCUUCACUGUUGGCGAGGCCCACUAUGCCUCGCUCUCCCCCUGUAAUGAGUUCUAUCCCAGAGGCUCCUAUACCCUUUAGAAAUAAACUGCUCAGGCAGCCCAACCAGUUCAUCCAAGAGGCCUGGAACCACAGCAGCGUCGACAGCUGAGAUGAGAGUUGGUCCCUGAUCUGAUACAGAGCCUGGGUUUAGCUUUGAUUUCUCUCUUCCUAGGCAAGAUCUUUAGAGAAUAACUUUUUGUGCCUGGCCAUCUCCUGCUCUUUUCUCAACCCAAAAGGGCUAUGUUCACCUAAAGAGGAAAAGCAAGAAGGCUUCCUGGGCUCGGGAGGUCAGGGCUGGAAAGAACUGCUCACCAUUUCUGAGCCGAUGAGGACUCACCUGGGCUCCUCACUGGUCAGGGAACUGUGGCCCAGCCGCAGAGUGAUUGCUUUGUCAAGAAGGGAAACAUUUACCUUUCCUUCUUCCCUCUGCUCUCUCCUAAUUAACAAUUAAAUGGAAGGAGUUGAAAAGACAUGUCAGAGACUUCAAUCUCCUCCCGGCCUGAGGAUGAAGGGGGCUCGAACCUGAAUGUUCUCUUCGCUGUGGCCAGAACCUAGGGGGCUGGGGUUGCUGCCAGCUCGACUGGAGGCCUGCUUCCAGCCCCAGGCUGUGGUGAGGGGCCUCACAGAUUUCACAAACAGGAGGGCGGCUGACCAAGCGCCAAACUAUUUAGACAAACACACACCCUCCCUUCCCGCCAGAGUUUGGGCUGAUUUCUCCCAAUGCUAAUGAACAGCUCAUAAGUAUUAAUAGACUCCUUGGCACCUAGGAGUCAGGCAGAGUAACUUCCAGUGUGAAUUUUGGCCAAGGACCCUGAUGCAGCCUCAGGAUCUUCCAAGCCCCUGUUGAGUCCAGGGGGCAUGAGACACACAGGGAGGCUGGGGCUGCUCCCAGGAAGCAGGCUCACAAGAGCCAGACAGGCUCCCACAGACAGCUUUUAGGUCACAGAAACCUCUGCCUGCCAGGUAGGCAUGAACACAGAAACCCUCCCAAAUCCUCAGACUGUGGAGCACACUCCAGGUGAGCCAGGAUCAAUCCCUGGUCUCAGAGAACACUUAGAUGGGGGUGAAAAGCAGGAACUGAGAGCUUCCCACCCAGCACCUGUCCCUGCUACCAGCUAAACCUGUGUCGGUCAGUGCAGGAAUUGUACAGGUGAUGCUCUGAGCCUGUGCUGAGGCCAUGUAUGGACUGAGGAAACCUCACUGUGUGUAUGUAAAGUUAAUUCAAACCUAUUUCCCUGAGUGCUUACAUAUUUUCAUAAGGAAAGUUCUGUUAGGAGAGCUGCCUGAAACAACACCUCUGCCUGUGCUCCCACUUUCUCCCGCUGGUGUGGGGAGGAGAGGCUGACAUCGCUGGGUCCACGUUCCUCUGCCCUGGGUGGGGUAUUAAUGCUGCCAUUCCCACGCUGCCUGCUGUUUCCCCUCAUCCUCAGGAGGGCUGGUCUCUGUGCUGCAGGCAGCUCCACCAGGCCUGGGAGCAUGACACCGUCUGCCAAUGCCUUGCCCAGGUCCACUGGCCUCACCCUUCCGCAGGCCUGCGCCUUCUGUGACUCUCUGCCUCAGCAAUUUCUCUGGAUUUCUUUGUCCUCAGGAAUGUGCUGGGGCCACAGGCAGGUCAGGCCAGGCUUUCUGGGGAGUGAAUGCUCUCUGCCAGUGGCGGAUGGAACUGGUAGACACGUCCCCCGGAUUCCUCGCCUGCAAGUGGGAUGGUGCCAGGAAAGUUCUACACCAUCCUUCCCAGGUCCCAGGAGGACAAGCACAGUUGUCCACAAGUGUGGAUCAGUGUUAAAAGUGCUUCAUGGAGAAAUGGAGGCCUGAAAGCGACUCUGAAGGAGGAGUGGGGCUCAGCAAACAGCAGACGAGUUUCAAUCCAAGCACCCAUUACCCCCCUAACACACGGCAUACGUGCAUCUCAUCUCCUCCUGUGUCGCUAAGAAGCUACCCAUAUGUCUGUCAUUAAUUCUCCAGAAUCCUUGGACACACCCCUCUGCAGAGCUUUCUAACAGGAAAUACAAGUCUCAGAUUUUUUUUUAAGUUAAAAUUGAGUGCAGCACUCAUACCUUUCUUCGAGCAUGAACCGUCAAUCAACACUGCCUCAUGAGCUACUGCUCUCCUGCUCUUUGAAAAGACAAAUCCUUAUUUCUUUGUAGUGAUCCAGAAGGCAGUGGGAAGAAUGACAGGUGCUUGGUUAUCUUCAAUUUAAUCUCUACCUUUCAAUGGGGCUAGUGCAAGCUAGGGCCAUUUUACUGCACCCAAAGGAAUUUAAGACAUUUCUAUUAUCUCUAAAGAAUCCAGAUUAACAUGCCUUCUUGGUGGGCAGGGAGACCAGCUAUGAAUUCUAGGAUCUCAAUUCAAAUGCUUUUGAAUUCUUCCUGCUUGUUCAGUUAAUUACAUAUAUGUCACCACAAUCUUGCUUUUUUUUUUCUAUGCUUCUAAUUUUCUCUGAAACUAUAACAUUAUUUUAGGGGUUAAUAAAUUUGUAAUUGGAAAAAA